CCUACGGGAGGCAGCAGUGGGGAAUAUUGCACAAUGGGCGAAACCCUGAUCCAGCGACGCCGCGUGCGUGAAGACGUAUCUCUGUAUUUUAAGCUCUAUUUGCAGGGAAGAAAACGACGGUACCCGUAUAUGUCGCACCGUCUCACUAGGUGCCAGAGCCCGCGGUAAUAUGUCGGCGGCAAGCGUUAUACGGAUUUACCGGGUGUAAAGGGGGCGUAGACGGCAGCACAAGUCUGGAGUGAAACGCCGAGGUUCAACUUCGGAACUGCUUUUGAUACUGUGCGGCUAGAGUGCAGGAGAGGUAAGUGGAAUUGAUGGUGUAGCGGUGAAAUGCUUAGAGAUUAGACGGAACACCGAUGGCGAAGGCGGCUUACUGGACUGUUACUGACGUUGAGGCUCGAAAGCGUGGGGAGCAAACAGGAUUAGAUACCCGAGUAGUC
rnacentral:rRNA from 1 species